rnacentral:rRNA from 1 species
GACGAACGCUAGCGGCGUGCCUAAUACAUGCAAGUAGAAAGCAGUUGCGAACGGGUGAGUAAUGCGUAGGUAACUGCCUAACAGCGGGGGAUAACUAUUGGAAACGAUAGCUAAUACCGGAUACUGUGAGAUGGACCGGCUUUGUAUUGGCUAGUUGGUGAGGUAAAGGCUCAACAAGGCGACGGUACAUCGCCGAACUGAGAGGGUGAUCGGGCACGAAGGGACUGAGACGCGGCCCAGACUGCUACAGAAGGCAGCGGGAGGGAAUCUUCGGCAAUGUACGGAAAUCUGACAGAGCAACGCGGCGUGAGUGAAGAGGGUUUUCGGAUCGUAAAGCUCUGUUAUUAGAGGAGCGGUAGCUAGCCAGAAAGGGACGGCUAACUACGUGCCAGCAGCCGCGGUAAUUC